UCCGCAAUGGCUCAGUGGUAGAGCAUUCGGCUGUUAACCGAAGGGCCGCAGGUUCGAAUCCUGCUUGCGGAG
rnacentral:tRNA from 1 species